rnacentral:rRNA from 1 species
AGGACGAACGCUGGCGGCGUGCUUAACACAUGCAAGUCGAGCGGAAAGGCCCUUCGGGGUACUCGAGCGGCGAACGGGUGAGUAACACGUGAGUAAUCUGCCUUCAGCUCUGGGAUAGCUCCGGGAAAACCGGGAUUAAUACCGGAUAUGACCACUUCGGACAUCUGUUGUGGUGGAAAGUUUUUCGGCUGGAGAUGAGCUCGCGGCCUAUCAGCUUGUUGGUGGGUAAAGGCCUACCAAGGCGACGACGGGUA